rnacentral:lncRNA from 1 species
UGCUUAUGUGGCAACGGCCAUGCUACCCGUCAUGUGGAAGGCCACUCAAUCCUCACACCCACCUUGUAAAGAUGAAGCCCGCCUUGUCUCCAUUUUUUCACAGGAGGAACCUAAAUCUAGGAGACGUUAAAUUCCCGGCCCAAGUGGUGAAGCCAGGAAUUGGAAGCUGCUCUGUUAUCUCACUGCAGAGUCUUAGAAAAAACAUAGCGAAAUGUUUCAACAGGCUCAGAAAAGUUCCUGGGGAGUUCCAUCUCCUCUCAAGCUACCCAGCCCACUCGGAAGCAACCACUUACCGGUUCCUGGUGCAGUUUUUAGGUCCAGCACUGUACAGGUGCUCAGUAUAUUUUCAGAUUUGCCCGGAAGCGGAAUUGCUGAAUCUAGGGAAUGAGCGUUGUAAUGCUGGAGGACAGAGCCUAGUUUUUCGCCGCAGAGGGCGCUCCAACUUGCACCCUCGUCCUCCAUAG